rnacentral:rRNA from 1 species
AUACGUAGGGGGCGAGCGUUGUCCGGAAUGACUGGGCGUAAAGGGCGUGUAGGCGGCGGUGUAAGUCUGGAGUGAAAGUCCUGCAUUCGAUGUGGGAAUUGCUUUGGAUACUGCAGUGCUAGAGUGCGGAAGAGGUAAGUGGAAUUCCCAGUGUCGCGGUGAAAUGCGUAGAGAUUGGGAGGAACACCAGUGGCGAAGGCGACUUACUGGGCCGUAACUGACGCUGAGGCGCGAAAGCGUGGGGAGCGAACAGGAUUAGAUACCGUGGUAGUCCACGCGGUAAACGAUGAAUGCUAGGUGUUGCGGGUAUCGACCCCUGCAGUGCCGGAGUAAACACAAUAAGCAUUCCGCCUGGGGAGUACGGUCGCAAGAAUGAAACUCAAAUGAAUUGACGGGG